rnacentral:misc_RNA from 1 species
AGAAGACUAAGUUACUCUUGAUGAUGAGUAUUUUCUUAUUAUUUUUUAAUGAAUUAUUGCUAUUUAGUAGGAAUUUAGCAAUAUGAUUUAAGAUUUUUAACAUCUCAUAGUUUUAUUCUGAUUUGGAUUUCAAACUAGAAUCCUAAAAAAUUUGUAUUAUAAAUAUGAGUUGGCUUAUAUAGGUUUAGUCAUCUAACUUUAUUUCUUUUGCACCUCAUGUCACUUAAGUGCGCACCUGUCCUUGCGCCUAGGCUUCAAUCCAGACCCUUUGCGCCUUAAUGCGCUUUUAAUGCCUAUGCUCUAUUUUGCCAACUCUUUUCUUUUCAAAUCUCAUAUUCACCAAAUUUAAAUGUCAAUUUCGCAUAAGGUGUCUACCUAAUUAAAUACUACAAAAUGCAAAGUUUUUCUGUUGCAGAUUUAGUGAUCUGUAUAGCUGUCUUGUGGCUUUCUCCUUCCCCAGUAUGAAUUUCUUAACAACAAAAAUAACUAAGCCUUAAUCCCAAUUCCCAAACUAGUCCGGGUAGGCUACAUGGAUCUUUUUUUGUUUCUUUGCUAGUCAACUCUGUAUGAGACCAAUUCUACAUCAAUGUUCAAAAAUUCUACAUGAAUUUCUUAAUGGUAAUAAAUUUUAAGGGCAAUCCUCAACUGAGAUUUAUAUGGAUUACAUGUUAUUGUUAACCACAUUGGUGGUGUUAUUCAUGAUUAGGUAAAUAUGCUGAUUUAUGAAAUUAAUGAUGAAGAAUCAUGGUUAUAUCUUUAGUUGCUAUAUUUAUUCAUCUGAAAUCUUGUGGAUCAGGAAACUAGCAACUCAACUAGUUG